CUAGCAUAUCACUAAGCGGAGGAAAAGAAACUAACUAGGAUUCCCCCAGUAACUGCGAGUGAAGAGGGAAGAGCUCAUCAUUGGAAUCUGGCAGUGUUGCACUGUCCGAGUUGUAGAUGAGGAGUAGUCCGUCUGGACUGCAUGGCGUCCAAGUACAAUAGGCCGUCAGUGGGACAUCAUAGAGGGUGACAAUCCCGUCCUUGACGCCAAUGUGCAAGUCUAUUACGAUGGCUAUCUCAGAGAGUCGAGCAGUUUGGGAUUUGCUGCUUAAACAUGGGAGGUAGAUUCCUUCUAAAGCUAAAUACAGGCGAGAGACCGAUAGAGAACAAGUACCGCAAGGGAAAGAUGAAAUAGCACUCUGUGAAGGGAGUCAAAAGGCGUGAAAUUGUUGCGAGAGAAGCGAUUCAAGUCAGCGUAGCUAGGCCCAUCAAGCGUCUUCGCUUUGGACUAGCUUUGCCAGCGGUCUUGUCCCUUGAAGAGACUUGACUUGUAAUAUGUCCAGCCUGGCGUGCACAGGCAGCCCCUUCUGGGGGCCAGUGGCAUGGCUGGUGGAAUGGCUUGCAAUCGACCCGUCUUGAAACACGGACCAAGGAGUCUAACAUGUAUGCGAGUAUAAGGGUGGCAAACCCGUAUGCGCAAUGAAAGUGAUUUUCGGUGAUUGAGAAUGGCCUGAUGACCAGACAAGCAAUAUAUGUCCCUCGUACGGCCAUUGCCCAAGUUCCGUGGUAGAUCCCACGAACAUGGAGUUGGAGCAUACAUGCUAGGACCCGAAAGAUGGUGAACUAUGCCUGGACAAAGCGAAGCCAAAGGAAACUCUGGUGGAGGCUUGUAGCGAUUCUGACGUGCAAAUCGAUCGUCUGAUCUGGGUAUAGGGGCGAAAGACUAAUCGAUUC
rnacentral:rRNA from 1 species